rnacentral:rRNA from 1 species
GAGACACGGCCCAGACUCCUACGGGAGGCAGCAGUGGGGAAUUUUCCGCAAUGAGCGCAAGCCUGACGGAGCAAGACCGCGUGAGGGAGGAAGGCUCUUGGGUUGUAAACCUCUUUUAUCAGGGAAGAAGAUCUGACAGUACCUGAUGAAUCAGCAUCGGCUAACUCCGUGCCAGCAGCCGCGGUAAUACGGAGGAUGCAAGCGUUAUCCGGAUUUAUUGGGCGUAAAGCGUCCGCAGGUGGUUUGACAAGUCUGCUGUUAAAGCGCAGGGCUUAACUCUGUAACGGCGGUGGAAACUGUCAGACUUGAGUAUGGUAGGGGUAGCGGGAAUUCCCAGUGUAGCGGUGAAAUGCGUAGAUAUUGGGAAGAACACCAGCGGCGAAAGCGCGCUACUGGGCCAUAACUGACACUCAUGGACGAAAGCUAGGGGAGCGAAAGGGAUUAGAUACCCCUGUAGUCCUAGCUGUAAACGAUGGGUACUAGGUGUUGACCGUAUCGACCCGGUCAGUGCCGUAGCUAACGCGUUAAGUA